rnacentral:miRNA from 1 species
ACAAUUUUGAUGACCGGAAGGAAUCCCUUGCGGUCAUUGAGAUGAUUUGAAUUUCGAUGACCGGAAGGAAUCCCUUCCGGUCAUCGAGACCAUUGAUGACCGGAAGGGAUUCCUUCCGGUCAUUGGGACCAUACAAUCUCAAUGGCCAGAAGGGAUUCCUUCCGGUCAUUGAGACUGU